AUAGAUUUAGAAAGAGGCUGACACAUCGGGUAACUAGUUUAGGGUCAUCUGACUCUAAGCGACAUUUAGGUGCUCUGCCUGGCCCAGACCAUCCACACGCAGGAGGCCCUGCCCAGACCCUCCAUCUCGGCUGAGCCAGGCACUGUGAUCCCCCAGGGGAGCCAUGUGACUUUCGUGUGCCGGGGCCCGGUUGGGGUUCAAACAUUCCGCCUGGAGAGGGAGAGUAGAUCCACAUACAAUGAUACUGAAGAUGUGUCUCAAGCUAGUCCAUCUGAGUCAGAGGCCAGAUUCCGCAUUGACUCAGUAAGUGAAGGAAAUGCCGGGCUUUAUCGCUGCAUCUAUUAUAAGCCCCCUAAAUGGUCUGAGCAGAGUGACUACCUGGAGCUGCUGGUGAAAGAAACCUCUGGAGGCCCGGACUCCCCCGACACAGAGCCCGGCUCCUCAGCUGGACCCACGCAGAGGCCGUCGGACAACAGUCACAAUGAGCAUGCACCUGCUUCCCAAGGCCUGAAAGCUGAGCAUCUUUAUAUUCUCAUCGGGGUCUCAGUGG
rnacentral:sRNA from 1 species